CCCUUACGGCCUGGGCUACACACGUGCUACGAAUGGUCGGUACAAAGGGUUGCCAAGCCGCGAGGUGGAGCUAAUCCCAUAAAGCCGAUCGUAGUCCGGAUCGCAGUCUGCAACUCGACUGCGUGAAGUCGGAAUUCGCUAGUAAUCGUGAAUCAGAAUGUCACGGUGAAUACGUUCCCGGGCCUU
rnacentral:rRNA from 1 species